AUCCAUAAAGGAAGUCAUUUCUGUGACUUUAAGGAUCCUGCUCAGCAACCCUCAGGACUCUCUACAGAGGACUCGGUUGCAGCAUUGCCUGUGGUGUGAUUUUGGAUAAUAAAUUAAGCCUUUGUAGAAGCAAAGGUACAUGCCCUGAAGAAGCGCUGUGAUCAUGGGAUUUCACAUACACAAAGGAAACAGAGAAUCUGGUGUUUCAUAAUGAAUAUACAGGACAGUAAAUAUGAUUGCUUUUCUACUGAAGUUCAUCGGACCCAACCUUGUGAAGCAAUUUAUUGCCAAGAGUACUAUCAUCAUCCAACAUAAUGAACGCUACCUUGAAAUUGUUCAUUCAAGUGGGCUAUCAAUAAAAAACAAAUGCUGAGCAGCCACUCAAUU